rnacentral:rRNA from 1 species
UCCGGGGGGAGCAAUCGUUGUUCGGAGUUAUUGGGCGUAAAGGGCGUACAGGCGGUGGUGUAAGUCAGAUGUGAAAUGUUCCGGCUCAACCGGGAAUCUGCAUUUGAUACUGCAUCACUUGAGUACAGGAGAGGAGAGCGGAAUUGUCGGUGUAGCGGUGGAAUGUGUAGAUAUCGACAAGAACACCAGUGGCGAAGGCGGCUCUCUGGCCUGAUACUGACGCUGACGCGCGAAAGCUAGGGGAGAAAACAGG